rfam:Colletotrichum sublineola strain TX430BB Scaffolds0971.1, whole genome shotgun sequence.
CUCUCUUCAACAAACACGGGUCUGUGCCCAACGAUCCUCUGCUCCCACGGGAGUUCAGAGUCGAACGUUGAGGCAGCUCGAUCACUCAAGGAGCCAUCAAAUUUCAUGAUGUCAAUCUUCCGAUCGACAGAUCCAAGAAAGACCGGUCUUUAGGAAGCCAUGUUCGCUGUAAAAGGCUUGAGCGUGGUGGAAUAUUGCACCGGGGACGUCAUAUUCCGUACCCUUUUUCCGAGAUCGUCGAUCUUUGAGGUUAGGGAAAACCAUGACUUGCCCACAUAC